GGCUUUUGGUUGCUUGCUUGGCCUUCGUGCUUUGCGGGUCGCUACUAGUCGAUCAGCUUUCGGGAAUGUCGACCGUAAAGGUGCAUGAGUGGUGUUUGGUUUGUUACGGGUGGUUGGCUGUUUGCUAGCGCAACAACGUCCACGUGUGCUUACCUUUUCAGUUUUGCAGCAAGGCUAGCUUUGUCUUGUGCGGUUUGUGGGUUUUCUGUGUUGCAUACCUAAUCGAUGGUAACUUGUGGGUUUAUGGAUGUCCCUAUUCGUCAUACGUUGCUCAUGCAGCGUGAGAUGAACCUUGAAGCUGGCUUUGUGGUCCACCUUGUUGGUGCAUUUGCGUUGACGUUGUGGCCCUUGAAGCAUAGCUUGGUUUCUUGUAUACGGAACCUGAUGUGGGCAUGGGUCUUUCAAGAUCUUGCAUCUGCCCUCGUUAAGCGUUCUCGCUUCUCCAAAACGAUUGCCCGUCACUACUCCUCGGCUUGUCCUUGUGUGGCGGGUUGCGUCGAAGAGGAAUGCUACCUGGUUGAUCCUGCCAGUAGUCAUAUGCU
rnacentral:misc_RNA from 1 species